rnacentral:rRNA from 1 species
CCUACGGGCGGCUGCAGUGAGGAAUAUUGGUCAAUGGGCGCAAGCCUGAACCAGCCAUGCCGCGUGCAGGAAGACGGCCUUAUGGGUUGUAAACUGCUUUUACAUAAGACUAACCGUAUAUUUGCGAAUAUACCUGAAUGUAUUAUGAGAAUAAGGAUCGGCUAACUCCGUGCCAGCAGCCGCGGUAAUACGGAGGAUCCGAGCGUUAUCCGGAUUUAUUGGGUUUAAAGGGUGCGUAGGCUGACUGAUAAGUCAGCGGUGAAAAGCAUAGGCUUAACCUAUGUCUUGCCGUUGAUACUGUCAGACUAGAAUAUAAAUGGAGUAGGCGGAAUGAAUCAUGUAGAGGUGACAUUCAUAGAUAUGAUUUAGAACACCGUUCGCGAAGGCGGCUUACUAAGAUAUAAUUGACGCUGAUGCACGAAAGCGUGGGUAUCGAACAGGAUUAGAUACCCCGGUAGUC